GAUGAACGCUGGCGGCGUGCCUAACACAUGCAAGUCGAGCGAACAGACAAGGAGUUUGCUCUUCUGCCGUUAGCGACUGACGGGUGAGUAACACGUGGAUAACCACCCUAUAAGACUGUGAUAACUUCGAGGAGCUGGAGCCAAUACCGCAUAAUAUAUUCAACCGCAUAGUUCAAUAGAGCAUGACGGUUUUGCUGACACUAAUAGAUUGAGCCGUGCCGGAUUAGCUAGUUGGUAAGGUAACGGCUUACCAACGCAACGAUGCGUAGCCGACAUGAGAGGAAGAUCGGCCACACUGGAACUGAGACACGGUCCAGACUCCUACGGGAGGCAGCAGUAGGGAAUCUUACGCGAUGGGCGAAAGCCUGACGGAGCAACACCGAGUGAGUGAUGAAGGUCUUCGGCUGGUAAAGUUCUGUUAUUAGGCAAGAAGAAAUGCGUAAGUAAAUAUGAACGUAUUGACGGUACCUAAUGAGAAAGCCACGGCUAACUACGUG
rnacentral:rRNA from 1 species